UAAUGUUAAGGGCAAACCUGCCUAAAGGCAGGGACGCAAUGCCGUAGGGUCUAAGGUGCUCUAAACAUUAUGACAGCCUGGUUACCGUG
rnacentral:ncRNA from 1 species